UACAGGGGGGGCAAGCGUUGUUCGGAAUUACUGGGCGUAAAGGGUCUGUAGGUGGCCAACUAAGUCAGACGUGAAAUCCCUCGGACUUAACCGGGGAACUGCGUCUGAUACUGGAUGGCUUGAGUUUGGGAGAGGGAUGGCGGAAUUCCAGGUGUAGGCGGUGGAAAUGCGUAGAUAUGAGAGGAACACCUGCGGCGAAAGGCGGGUUGCUGGGCGUGAUGACUGACGCUGGAGCGACGAAGCC
rnacentral:rRNA from 1 species